rnacentral:lncRNA from 1 species
AGAGACUGGAGGGACGGACCUGCAGGAGCCAGGGCUGCCCGCCGAGCUGCAGUUGCCGCUACUGCCGCUGUCAGCGCCCGACUGAAGAGUGACAGCCGCAAAAGCAGGAGUGAGCACCGAACCCCGCGCUUCUACCUAACAGGUGCAUGCGCCGAUCUGGUGAGUGGACCCAGCUCACAAGAUCUCAGGUAACCAUUCAUGAGCCUGAGGCUGUGAGAAAUGCUCGCUGUGCAAAGGGGAACUCUCACCAGAUUUUCUGAAACUGUUCUAGAAAUACACUUUUCGGAUUGAUUCAGCAUUACCAGCUUAUCCAACAAAAGUAUUAACAUAUACAUUAACAACGUCGAAAGUAGCCUACUUUAAGAGAAAAUAUGCAGAAGAAGAAGAUUUACAUCAAGAUUACCAUGGGUAUUUUCCAAAACACCUGAUAUUACCUGAGGACAGAACUUGCAUUCUCAAACUUUCUCUGGAGAAGCUCAGGUUUCUUGAAGACCCAGAAACCUACUUAAGAAGGUCUGUGUUAAUUAACAAUUUGCUGAGGAAGAUACAUCUAGAGACGGAGAAAGAGAGCUAUGAAUACUUUAAAGAAGCUCCCUGUUAUAAGACUGCAUAUUCUGAUACAAGAAAACGGCUGAAGUUUAUGGUACAGGAAUGCUGUUCUCAGUCUCUCUAUUAUGAAGAGCUGCAUUCGUAUCAUAUUGUGCCUUAUGCUUCGGAGAAUGCCAUUUAUGAAAUGGGCUACACUAGCAGCCACUUGGAGCAAAAUUCUCAGUUGCUUAUUUAUAAAAUGAAUUAAAGUAACUGUUAAGUCCAUUGAUACUUUGUUUCUAAAUGCUUGAACUGUUUAUAGUGAAGAUGUUAAUAUAAGGCACUCAUUACCAGUGCACUUGAUAUCAAAGAUGAGAUGCAUGCUGAACUGAUUGGAGAGAGCAAUGGUUAUUACUCAGCAGUCCUUAGAAUCAUCAAAUUGAAUAGAAAAUAUGUUCACAUAUGAUAAAGCGGUCAAUUAGUGCUUUAGAAGCAAAGAUUUUUUUUAAACAUAAGAUGUGUAGGAAGGGGCCUACGUUAAACAAUUACACAGAUGAAAAAUUUUCUUUUAUGCCUUGAUUUCCAAAUUCUGCCACUCUUACUGGAAAGUAAUGAAAGUAACAGAUUAAAUUGAUAAUGCCAUGUCCCUGAGGAUGAAGGGUGGAACACAUUUAAUUUUCUGUAAAUGAUAUGAGGAAGGGCUGGUUCUUUCUGAAGUGCUUUGACUUGUCAAGCAUUGUGCCAAAUAAUUGACACCAUUCUCCUUUUACCAUUAGUAGCAAUUCGAGAUGGGGCAAAGACACUGCAACUAAACUGCUGAAUGUAACAACCAGAUUACUCCAAACUGAUCCAUUGUACUAUUUUGCGGGGAGGGCUUAGACUUUUCUCUUUAAAAGUGAAUUUUAACGAAAUAGCCUUGCAGAUGGGCUUAUCUAUAAGUUCUACAGGUUGGUUAAAAUUUGUGGUGGGCCUUUAGUUAGCCGUUUACAUUUUAUUUGUUUUUUUUUAUAGGCUGUGAAGCUCAGGAAAAGGGUAGGCAGGUAAAAUUUGUUUUUAAUGAGUUGAUACUUUUUAGAAACCUUAUCUGCAAAAAUUAAUGAGAACAACAAAUUCCACAUGAUGUUAUUUCUUCAUCUAGCUAAGAGUACAUUUAAGGCUGCCUGGAUGAAACUUUGCACUGAUUUUUGUAUAAUAGUUGAUCAUUCACUAUUUGACAAAUUGUUUCAGAAUGCCUUUGGUGGUGAAGUUUAGAUAAGUCCCUAUGUUUUGCAAUUUUACAGAUAAUUAUUUAACAAGUUGGAUAGAUUCAUGAAAUUGUUUGAAGUGGUUCAUACUGUUCUUUCAGGUUUGAGUGAGAUGUCAGAUUUCAGUGUCUGAAGUUUUGUCCUAUGGAGCAUAUCAUUUAAAGAAUUGUCAUUAACUGAUAAAACAGAUUGGAAAAACUAGGUGCCAAAGGUGUAUUUAAGAAAAUACCAAAGACUCAAAGAUGAGUGUUAGGAAGACUAUGAUAAUGAAGAUAAGAAUCUAAAGUAAGGAUUGCAUAGGACAUAGAAGAACAUUGUUAAAGGGGUUUGGAAUGAUUUGCUUACUAAUGUACUUUCAGAACACUUUAUACAUAAUAAUGGUAAUCAAGGGCACUGCUUUAAAUGAAGAUACUACAGACCUUUAGGAAUCAUAUGCCUUGGAAAACAAUCUAUGUAUGGUGACUUGUCAACAAAGUAUCUUCCCUAGUUGGAUGCCAACUUGUAACCAAGAAGACUUUCUUCUAUUCAAGAGAAAUUUGGUUUUAGUUUUGAUUUAAUACUUGGUCCCUCUAAUUAAUCACUGGGGUGAUUAACAUGAAUUCUGUUGGUAUAAAGAGUAUUGGUUCCCUAAUUAGCCUGCAUUGUUGAAGACCACAUAGAUGUAUUACUGAUAAGACUAUGAGGCUCAUGUUUAAUUACUCAAUCAAAAUUAGGAAGAAAUGCUUUGGAAGAAACUAAAAAAUUACAAUUUAGGUUAAUUUUUAAAGGCAAUUUAGUAUACAUGAUGAGCUAGCUUUGAAAUACAGAUUUAAAUGUUUAAAAAUUAAUUUGAGGGCAAGAUUUGGUACCAAAGUUUCAAAAAUUUUAUUUCACUGCUUAUAAAAUACUUUAUCAGAACACUUAUUUUAAAAAAUAACAUCUUAUUUGAAAAACUCCAAAUUUGAUGGGAUAGUUACACCAUCAUACAAUUUUAAAGGUAGAAUUAGCUUUCUAAUACUUUAAAAUAUUUUCUGAAAUGAACAUUUCACUUGGUUUAGGACCGUGUCUGUAAGUAAAAGACACCAAUGCUAAUAGAUAUGACUUACAAAAAUGCCACAUAUCGAAAUUGAUUGAGGAUUGAAAUAUAUAUACUUUGGCAUUGAGAAGAGAGGAAGAGAAAAAAAUAAAAAAAGUGUGACAUUGUAAUAUUUAUUGUAUUUAAUAAAUCUUGAAGAAAGAACUCUUGAGCAAUGAACCAGUGACAGAUAUAAAAGCCUGUUUUAUUUGAUGACAUCAUUAACUGAGUUUUCUCAUCUAUACAUUCAUACAUCGAGAAGGAACUGUCUUAAAAACCAGUGUUUCUUUUUUUUUUUAAGUUCUAGCGUACAUGUGCAGAAUGUGCAGGUUUGUUAUAUAGGUAUACACGUGCCAUGGUGGUUUGCUGCACCCAUCAACCUGUCAUCUACAUUAGGUAUUUCUCCUAAUGCUAUCCCUCCCCAGUGAUAUUUGUUAAUAUGCUUUUUUAAAAAAGUGUCUGCCUUGAAACUGGUAAUUAAAAAAUAUCUCCUAGGGCAUUUAAUUAUUUUUCCCAAUAAACAACUCAUAGAUAACGGGUUGACUAAUGUUAUCUUUAUUUAGAAAAUUUGUAUGUAAACUGUGUAAACUUGUCUGAGUUAACCAAUAGACUACCGGGGUUUUAGCAUGGUAAACUGAUAUACAGGGAGACCCAAAUACAGGCUUGCUUUGCUGACUACCCAGCGUGCUUUAUUACAGGAGAUGCAAAAGGUGGAAGACCAGUUACACCUUUUUUUUUUUUUUUUUAAAACCUGGACAUCCUUUCUCUGGUGACAAGAGCCAUCCUUAUGGUAAGGAAGGUGAGAUAGAAAAUGGAGAACCUUUGGUAAUGUUGAUCUUUCUUGUGGGUGUCCACCUAGCCUAAAAGCCAAGUGAAGAAGAACAUAAAAAAGCAGAAGAGGAAAAAUGAAGAAAAGAGGAAAAAGAGGGUGGGGCCAGAGAAAUAAAGAGUAGGAUUAGUAAGUGAAAGAAAAAGUUGCUUUGUUGUGUGGGGGGGGUGUUCUUGCUUGCUAUACUCAAUUUUGCUUUCCCGUGUCUGCUGUACACAAAACACCUGAUCUCUGCAAUGUAUUGCUCCUUUCUUUCAUUCACCUGUGAUGCAUAAGACUAGAUUAUUUUCGGCAUAUCUACUGUUUGCAAAGUGUUACUACUGAAAAAUAUCCCUGAAACUGAGCUCUUUGGGUGGAUAAGCAAAGGAAAAAUAGAAAAUAAUUAAGGUAAGGGAAAGGCUAAAGGAUAAGCCUGUGUAUAAAUGGGAAAUGGAUAAGCUCAAAUGCAUUAUCUGGUUUCAAUGUAACACCCAAGAUUUAACAAACUCAGUGCUAGAAGACUUGAAAAUAAGUGUAAUUUACCACCAUCUAUUGAGCAGCUAUUAUGAGCCAGGCACUGUGCUAGGGCUGGGGAUACAUAAGUGAAUAAUGCACAGUCCCAGAACUCAGAUUAUUUGGUUUUGUUUUACCAAAUCCAAAUGCAGUACCUGCAUUUCUCUUUUCCAAACUGAGAUGGCUAUCAAACAUGUCUUUCAGAAAGUGUUUGCAGGUGAGAAGAUGCGCAAGGUGAAGGAAAGUUUUCCUGACCCAGAUCUUAGAAGGAAAGGAGAGGAUACAUUUUGCUUUGUGGCAUAUUUAUUGUGGGCAAAAAGCUACUAUUGCCUAAGGGAAGUACGGCUGACCUUAGCCCAUCCCUGGGGCAUAUCUUGUGCGUGUGGUGGGGAGACAAAUCAGGUAGGGAACAAUUCCUUCUCGCCUUACCUCUCUAGCUUCCAUGUUCUUUUAUGGAACAAAUCAGAUUAAUACUAAUGUUAAGGAGAGCUUUAAAGGAGAAAGAGAAUCAAUAAAUCACAGCCUGAAAGUUGUGUAUGUUGUGUGCAAGCUCAGAGGGGCAGUCUUCUUCAAUUUGCCUUGUGCUGGUGAAUUGCUUGAAUGAACUUCGGUAUUUCUUAACACCAGGUACUGGAGCCCACCUUCUUUCUCUCCCUCUGGUUUCCUCUUUAAAUCACAGCCUGACCCCAGUCUUUAUAGUCCAUUGUAAGUGGAAGUUAUAGCUCUAUUCUUCACCCACACCUUGCUCCCUAUCAUUGAUACUUAGAAGAAAGUAACAAUUUGCAGUACUGGCUGAACUCCUUUGGGAAAGUUUCUGGAGUGUAUCAAAUAAGAAUUCAUCAUAGUAACAUGGUCGUUACUGGCUGAACAAAAUUCUUUUUGAGACUAUUGUACUUAGUCAUUAAAUAAUUGUUUACUAAGGCAAUUUUCAUGUUUCUGGAAUUCAGUGUAAUAGUUAACAGCUGUAUAUGUCUCACAAAAGAAACUACUUAGGUUGGAAACAAUGGAAGGUUGUGUAUAAUUAAUUCAAUCAGGUCAUGAAUAUUUAUGUAACAUAUGGCAUUUUAAUUUAUAUGUUCCCAUUCUCAUACUUCAUUACUAUACAGCAGCAACAAGAUAAAUUUCAGGUUUUUUGUUUUUUUAUUAAGUGGGCCAUGUCUAAAAGUUGUCACAUUCCUGGUUGAAUAUUAUGGACAAAAUUUCCCCAUUAAAGUAGUUUUGUCUUUCUCAAGGAUUAUCCUUUAGGGUUGGGUGGAUUAAAAACAUUACAUUAGUGCUUCUUGAGCAUACAAGUCACUAGGGAUCUUGUGAAAAUACAGAUUCCUUUUAGUAGGUUUGGGAUGAGGAAUGAAGGUCUUCAUCUCUCAAAUCUCCCAGGUGAUGUGGAUGCUGCCAGUCCAUCGACCACACUUUGAGUUGGGAGAUUCUACAUCUUUUGAGAAAUAUCCACACUGAAGCCUAUACUCUUAAACUUUCAAAGACUCUGUGUUCAUGUCUGUGUUCUGCAAGAAUUUUUUCUUUUAAGAAAUAAACUGCAUAAAGUAAAAUCAGAAAACCAUAACACUGGUUUUCCAAAUUUGCCACAAAUACUGUAAUACUCUGUAGAGUAAAAUGCAAAGAUUAUUCCUGUUACAAGUUUUCUCUGUAUCAAGUGCAGGAAAGGAACAUGGGUAGAGUCAUGUACCAUUCUUAUCAGUCAGGAGAUGACACGUGGUAAAUUUCUCUUCUUGAUUUUCCUCUUGAUUAUACUCACAUAAGGGAGCUCCAUUUGGUAACAAAGAUGAAAUUCUGUUCACAGUUAACAAGAAUUUAGCAACUUCUUGCUUGGCAAAAUCUGAGACAACCUUACAAAAACAUCCUACAUUAAAUUCAGAAUUUUGGGUAGCUGCAUAAGCUGAAGAUUAUGGAAAACCUGAGCUGAAAAUGGCACCUGGAUCUGUAACUUCUUGUCUUGAACUCUUUUUUGAGCUUUAUUCUGUGAGAGAUCUUCCCCUACAGUGAUUUUUUCUGUUUCUCCUCAGUCGCUGGGGUCUCAGUAAGGGGUGGAGGAUUGGUGUAAAUGAGACAGUCACAUAAAUUGUCUAAUUUGAGCAUGCCAAGUGAUUUUUGUCAGCCUCUUUUGGUCAUAAAAUUUUGGUAUAGCUAUUGUGAAAUAUAGUGUCAUAAAUUUGUCAUAAGCCAUUAAUGAAGGAAGAGAAGCAGAAAUUUAUUUCUGUGGGAAUGCACUCAAAUAUCAAGCAGAUGGUGUUCUACAACAUUUAUUUGGGAAAAUGUGUAUCUGUUACAUAAUCUGAAAUAUGUCUUUUUCACAUUUAAAAAUAUUUGGGUCAUGAUUUAGAGUUUUUAUUGGAUUGUUUUUUAAACUGAGAGGAAGAAGAAAGGUAAUUGUAUUUUAAAACAUUUGACAUGUUACUAAUAAAAUUUUAUUUCUGGUGAAAUAUAGGUGCCUUUGUUAAGUAGGGGAGGUGGGAUCAUGAACAUCUGGCAGCUGCUGC